GAUGAAGAACGCAGCGAAAUGCGAUAAGUAGUGUGAAUUGCAGAAUUCAGUGAAUCAUCGAAUCUUUGAACGCACAUUGCGCCCCUUGGUAUCCCGAGGGGCAUGCCUGUUCGAGCGUCAUUUCACCACUCAAGCCUGGCUUGGUGUUGGGCGACGUCCUCUUUGGGGACGCGCCUCGAAACGCUCGGCGGCGUGGCACCGGCUUUAAGCGUAGCAGAAUCUUUCGCUUUGGAAGUCGGGGCCCCGUCUGCCGGAAGACCUGCUCGCAAGGUUGACCUCGGAUCAGGCAGGGAUACCCGCUGAACUUAAGCAUAUCAAUGCGGAGA
rnacentral:misc_RNA from 1 species